AGCGCGCGGGGAGGAUCCCGGUAACGCCGGGCGCCUGCAGACCUUGAGUGGCCUCACCCUGGUGACCUCCCCGGGAAAAGCUGGGCCGUGCUUCCACACUGAGGGCCACUUGUUAAUUUGCACGAGAAAGUGCUGCCGAGGGCCCACACGUGUGAAUCCACCUGUGGAGUGCGUCCCCUCUCUGGGGGCAAGGCCUAGGGGAGGCCGAAGCGGAGAAGUUGCCGGAAGACUGGGAAGUAAGAGCAGGGGCGUCGGAGGAAUCGAAGUUGCAGUGACAUCAGGCUCGGACAUCCGGCGGACUCCUCUCAAGCCUGCAUGGACUAAGACAAGCUCAUUUGCUGGAAAGUCUUGAACUAAGUACUUGAAAAUACAAAGAUAAAUGAAGCACAAGUGCUGACUUCAAGGAAAUGCCAGAUGGAAUCUUGCUCUGUUGCCCAGGCUGAAGUACAGUGGCAUGAUCUCAGCUCACUGUAACCUCCACCUCCCAGGUUCAAGCGUUUCUUCUGCCUCAGCCUCCCAAGUAGCUGGGACUACAGAGGCAUUUUUUUGGUAUUUCUAGUAGAGAUGGGGUUUCACCAUCUUGGCCAGGCUAGUCUCGAACUCCUGACCUUGUGAUCCACCCACCUCAGCCUCCCAAAGUUUUGGGAUUACAGGCAUGAGCCACCGCGCCCGGCCAACAUUACUACUUUUUAAGCACUGAAAGGACAUCAGUGAACACCAGAGGCCUGCACUAGGCAUUCUAAGUUUAAAACACUUUCAAAUCAAUCAACCAACCAAUCAGUAUGUACCAACUAAAUUCAUUGUUAAGCAGCUUAUGUAAUAGCUCUUUUAAGAAUGGAAAGUAUAAAAACUGCCUAAAGGGGUUUACAAACUACUUGGUAAAAUUAGAUACAGACACCCAAAGAGUAAUAAACAAUGUAAUACAUAACUGAAUGCUAGAGGUAAGGUGAUACGACGAAAAAGGUACUAAAACCUGAGUUAUUUUCCCUUCUUAGCACUGAAAGGAUCAGUGCUUUGAUCAUUUUUCAAGGAAUUAAUUUUCGCAUUUAAAAAAUGAGAGACAUUCCAUGGGGCCUUUUUGCAUUAACAUUAUAUGGUUAUACAGAAUGCUGUGAAAGAUUCUAAAUGCUGGUAGAAAGUUUUCAGAAAGAAAAUAAGCUAAAUGCUUUAAAAUUACUUUCCCAUUAUUUUGCUAGUUUAAAAAAUGUUUUCUUAUUUUAAAAAUAAUUUUACUUAACCUAGUAAUAAAUUGACUGAUACCUUCUGGAUUUUUGGUAAAAUGUUAUAAAACCAAGAUUAGAAAAAGGUCUAUUAUAGAUAUAUAUCAUAUAAUAUCAUAUAAUUUACAUAAUUUAAUAGCAGAAGAACUGUAAUUUUAAAUAUGUCUAAAAUUCUCUUCAAUGUUCUAUACUAUAUAUUUUUUUUGUUUGUUUUGUUUUGUUUUGUAGAGACUGGGUUUCAUCAUGUUGCCCAGGCUGGUCUCAAACUCAAGAGUUCAAGUAAUCCACCUGCCUGGGCCUCCCAAAGUGCUGGGAUUAUAGGUGUGAGCCACCACGCCCAGCCAAUUUAUGUUCUUCAUAAAUGAUCCAGUGAACAAAGCAUACCAUAUUCUAAAAAAAAAGAAAUAAUAAUAAUCUAUUUAUUGUCAGGAUUUAUGGUAUUCAAUGAUUUUCUUCUUUCCUUAGUUUUUUUAAAAAAAAAUGAAUCAAGGGAUUAUGUUAAGGUAUUUUAUGUAAAUGGUGAUAGUAGUCUUUUAAAUAAUCUUUAUAUGAUUAAUAACCUUUAUAAUCUAGUAGUAUGAAUAACUUUUGAAAGUCCUCACAAAAUAACGUAUGGACUUGUCCUCGCAUAUUUUUAUUUAAAAAAUAUAUUAAAUAAUUUUAGCUCCAGCAUGAAGUAUUACUGGGCCUGUAUAUAUUAGUGAGGUUUAACUUUACGUAACUGUUUUAUAGAGAGUUCAUAUAAUCAUGAUAGGACUUCAAAUACAGCUGUUCCUUCCCAAGAAUGUAAUCUCCAAAAAAUACAUUUUUUUCUCCUAAAAGAAGAGCUGCAUGAUCAUCAGUGUGCCAAAUGUGUUUAUAACUAUCAGAGCAUAUGGGUUGGCUGGUAGGUAGUAAUUCCUCACUUAAAUGGCUACCAUUGACUUUCUUCACAGAAUUGAAAAAAACUACUUUAAAUUUCAUAUGGAACCAAAAAAAGCCCACAUAGCCAAGACAAUCCUAAGCAAAAAGAGCAAAACUGGAGGCAUCACGCUACCUGGCUUCAAACUAUACUACAAGGCUACAGUAACCAAAACAGCAUGGCACUGGUACUAAGAUAUAUAGACCAAUAGAACAGAACAGAGGCCUCAGAAAUAACGCCACACUUCUACAACCAUCUGAUCUUUGACAAACCUGACAAAAACAAGCAAUUAAGAAAGGAUUCCCUAUUUAAUAAAUGGUGUUGGGAAAACUGGCUAGCCAUAUGCAGAAAACUGAAACUGGACCCCUUCCUUAUACCUUAUACAAAAAUUAAUUCAAGGUAGAUUAAGGACUUAAACAUAAGACCUAAAACCAUAAAAACCCUGGAAGAAAAGCUAGGCAAUAUCAUUCAGGACAUAGGCAUGGGCAAAGACUUCAUGACUAAAACACCAAAAGCAAUGGCAACAAAAGCCAAAAUAGACAAAUGGGAUCUAAUUAAACUAAAGAGCUUCUGCACAGCAAAAGAAACUAUCAUCAGAAUGAAUAGGCAAUCUACCUGUAACAUUAUCAUGCUGCUUGUCCCUUGGAGAAAAUUCAUGGUACAAGGUAAAAUAAACUUUUGAAUUCCUAAAAAAAAAAAAAAAAAAAAAAAAAAAGAA